rnacentral:rRNA from 1 species
GACGAACGCUGGCGGCGUGCCUAAUACAUGCAAGUAGAACGCAGUUGCGAACGGGUGAGUAACGCGUAGGUAACUGCCUCAUAGCGGGGGAUAACUAUUGGAAACGAUAUCUAAUACCGCAUACUGUUAGAUGGACCUGCGUUGUAUUAGCUAGUUGGUGAGGUAAAGGCUCACCACGGCGACGAUACAUAGCCGACCUUAGCGGGUGAUAGGCCCCACUGGGACUGAGACACGGCCCAGACUCCUACGGGAGGCAGCAGGAGGGAAGCGUCGGCAAUGGACGGAAGUCUGACCGAGCAACGCCGCGGGAGUGAAGAAGGUUGUCGGAUCGUAAAGCUCUGUUGUUAGAGAAGCGGUAACUACCCAAAAAGGGACGGCUAACUACGUGCCAGCAGCCGCGGUAAUUC